UAACUGUGGAUUGUAUGAAGAUUUUAUGUUGGUUUAGGGUGGUGAAGAUAAGAAUUUUGUGAGUUGCAUGAUCCCCGUGGGUCACUUCAAUUGGUUAAGUAAUUGGAUUUCUGCAGCUUUUGGACCUUUUUGAUUGACGAUAUGUCUUAAGAUUUGAGUGUUUUGAUCAGCAAGCAUUUUGGUCAACUUGAAGGAAGGUAUAGUUUCAAGUGAUGAUCAAACAGAUA
rnacentral:misc_RNA from 1 species